rnacentral:rRNA from 1 species
GACGAACGCUGGCGGCGUGCUUCACACAUGCAAGUCGAGCGGUGAAACCCCUUCGGGGGUGGAUCAGCGGCGAACGGGUGAGUAACACGUGGGCAACCUGCCCCUAGCACUGGGAUAACCCCGGGAAACCGGGGCUAAUACCGGAUACGACCACCGAGGGCAUCCUGUGGUGGUGGAAAGUUCCGGCGGCUAGGGAUGGGCCCGCGGCCUAUCAGCUCGUUGGGGGGGUGAUGGCCCACCAAGGCGACGACGGGUAGCCGGCCUGAGAGGGUGACCGGCCACACUGGGACUGAGACACGGCCCAGACUCCUACGGGAGGCAGCAGUGGGGAAUACUGCACAAUGGGCGCAAGCCUGAUGCAGCGACGCCGCGUGAGGGAUGACGGCCUUCGGGUUGUAGACCUCUUUCAGCAGGGACGAAGCGCAAGUGACUGUACCUGCAGAAGAAGCGCCGGCUAACUACGUGCCAGCAGCCGCCGUAAGAC